rnacentral:rRNA from 1 species
UACGUUCCCGGCCUUGUACACACCGCCCGUCACACCACGAAAGUGGGUAACACCCGAAGCCGGUGGCCCAACCCUUGUGGAGGGAGCCGUCGAAGGUGGGAUCCGCGAUUGGGGUG